UACGUAGGGGGCAAGCGUUGUCCGGAUUUAUUGGGCGUAAAGAGCGUGUAGGCGGUCAGGUAGGUCGGUUGUGAAAACUGGAGGCUCAACCUUCAGAGGUCGACCGAAACCAUCUGGCUAGAGUCCGGGAGAGGAGAGUGGAAUUCCUGGUGUAGCGGUGAAAUGCGCAGAUAUCAGGAAGAACACCCGUGGCGAAAGCGGCUCUCUGGAACGGUACUGACGCUGAGACGCGAAAGCGUGGGGAGCGAACAGG
rnacentral:rRNA from 1 species